UACAGAGAUGGCAAGCGUUGUUCGGAAUUACUGGGCAUAAAGGGCACGUAGGCGGGCUGAUUAGUCAGGUGUGAAAUCCCUCGGCUCAACCGAGGAACUGCGCCUGAAACUGUCAGUCUUGAGGGCAGGAGGGGAGAGUGGAACUCUUGGUGGAGCGGUGAAAUGCGUAGAUACCAAGAGGAACGCCGGUGGCGAAAGCGACUCUCUGGCCUGUUUCUGACGCUGAGGUGCGAAAGCUAGGGGAGCAAACAGG
rnacentral:misc_RNA from 1 species